rnacentral:lncRNA from 1 species
GACGCUGUCGUCCAAGAUCGUGAACAGAUGCAAGCGGGAGAUGGCGGAGAUCUGCGUGCAGGCGGUCAUGGCCGUCGCGGACCUGGAGAGGAAGGACGUCAACCUCGACCUGAUCAAGGUGGAGGGAAAAGUCGGCGGGAAGCUCGAGGACACGGUGCUGGUGAACGGGAUCAUCUUAGGCGCGUUCUAUCUCACACUGGUCCCCAUACGACCGCGUUCGCGUGGUGAACGCCGAUCCUUAAGGACUUUGCCCGGCGCAUCUCUCCGCCCACACCACGGUUUCAAUCCCGACACACCUCGGCGCCCGCCUUUCAACUCCGCUUCUGACGCCUUCCAACUCCACCCCGACGUCGCUUCGUCUGGACCCUCGACCCAUAGACAAGGACAUCUCGCACCCGCAGAUGGACAAGGAGAUCAAGGACGCGAAGAUCGCCAUCCUCACCUGCCCGUUCGAGCCCCCGAAGCCGAAGACGAAGCAUAAGAUCGACAUCGACACCGUGGAGAAGUACGAAGAGCUGAGAGCGCAGGAGGAGAAGUACUUCAAGGACAUGGUGAAGCAGUGCAAAGAC